rnacentral:rRNA from 1 species
CCUACGGGAGGCAGCAGUGAGGAAUAUUGGUCAAUGGGCGGGAGCCUGAACCAGCCAAGCCGCGUGAGGGAAGAAGGUACAGCGUAUCGUAAACCUCUUUUGUCAGGGAACAAAGGCGGGGACUAGUCCCCGGAUGAGGGUACCUGAAGAAAAAGCAUCGGCUAACUCCGUGCCAGCAGCCGCGGUAAUACGGAGGAUGCGAGCUUUAUCCGGAUUUAUGGGGUUGAAAGGGUGCGCAGGCGGCCUGUUAAGUCAGCGGUAAAAGCCCGGGGCUCAACCCCGGCGAGCCGUUGAAACUGGCGGGCUGGAGUUGGAGAGAAGUACGCGGAAUGCGCGGUGUAGCGGUGAAAUGCUUAGAUAUCGCGCAGAACCCCGAUUGCGAAGGCAGCGUACCGGCUCCACACUGACGCUGAGGCACGAAAGCGUGGGUAUCGAACAGGAUUAGAUACCCUAGUAGUC